rnacentral:rRNA from 1 species
UACGGAGGGUGCGAGCGUUAAUCGGAAUAACUGGGCGUAAAGGGCACGCAGGCGGUUAUUUAAGUGAGGUGUGAAAGCCCCGGGCUUAACCUGGGAAUUGCAUUUCAGACUGGGUAACUAGAGUACUUUAGGGAGGGGUAGAAUUCCACGUGUAGCGGUGAAAUGCGUAGAGAUGUGGAGGAAUACCGAAGGCGAAGGCAGCCCCUUGGGAAUGUACUGACGCCUCAUGUGCGAAAAGCGUGGGGACAAACAGGAUUAGAUACCCGGUAGUCC